UUUGGAAACAAAAAUUCCCUCUUUCGUACGACUACGGUCUUCCUUCCCCCCUUCUCUCUCUCUCUCUCUUUCCCAAGAAAGCCUUCGAGGAGCAGGGGCCACCGUCAACUCCGUUCCCCAUUGCCGAUCUCAGAUUCUUCAUCGACCGAAACCCACUCCGAUCUUGGAUUCCUCGUCGAUCGAAACCCACUCCCUUUCUCGGAUUCCUGUCCACGCGAUCCCUCCUCCAUUUCUCCGCAAGAAUGGAAAUGAGAGACGCAGGAAAGUUGUUUGAUGAAAGGUUUCAAAGAGCCACAAGUUAAAAUCCCAUUCAAACAAACUCCACUCAUUGCCUCAAUAUUUGCUUGGACACGGGGCCUAGAACAUAGACCUGAUGAUAUGUACCAGCCAAAUCCAUACAGCACUACUACUAUUUUGCAAGCUUUAUGGCUGAAGUAAUGACAGGAUCAAUCAAGAACGUGUAAUGGCUGAAGAAGCAAAAUUUAAAGUUAUGGAAAAGAAAUACAAGGGAACAUUAAAAGCUUUAUUAUUGUCAUGGUUUUGUAUUGUUGUGGUUUGUGUUGUACUUAUAUUGUAUCCUAACGAGAAUCAUGUAUGUCGGGUUAUGCUAAGAUCCCAUGGUUGUUAGCCCGUUCGUAAUUACAUUUUGCAGUUCUCCGAAGAAGUACUUUUGGAAUGUAUUUAGACAAUUUUUAAAUGUAAUGAAAGACUAAAUGUAUUACAUUUUGUA